rnacentral:rRNA from 1 species
AUUGAACGCUGGCGGCAGGCCUAACACAUGCAAGUCGAGCGGAUGAAGGGAGCUUGCUCCUGGAUUCAGCGGCGGACGGGUGAGUAAUGCCUAGGAAUCUGCCUGGUAGUGGGGGAUAACGUCCGGAAACGGGCGCUAAUAACGCAUACGUCCUGAGGGAGAAAGUGGGGGAUCGUCGGACCUCACGCUAUCAGAUGAGCCUAGGUCGGAUUAGCUAGUUGGUGGGGUAAAGGCCUACCAAGGCGACGAUCCGUAACUGGUCUGAGAGGAUGAUCAGUCACACUGGAACUGAGACACGGUCCAGACUCCUACGGGAGGCAGCAGUGGGGAAUAUUGGACAAUGGGCGAAAGCCUGAUCCAGCCAUGCCGCGUGUGUGAAGAAGGUCUUCGGAGUGUAAAGCACUUUAAGUUGGGAGGAAGGGCAGUAAGUUAAUACCUUGCUGUUUUGACGUUACCAACAGAAUAAGCACCGGCUAACUUCGUG